GAAAGCGCGUUUGAGUGGGAGAGUAGGAAAGUGAAGGGUACAGAGAGGAGCUGGUUGGUGAAAAGCUCUCCUUUUCACUCGGUCUGAAGUGCGCCCACGAGCAGAUGCGCUGAACGGUAUGUUUUUACAUACUUAAUAGGCCAUCCGGUGUCUCCGUUAUCAGACAAAAAGUGGGAUUACUUUUUUAUAAAAUGUCCAAACAGAGUGGAACCGCGGAAUUUUACCGUCUCUGUA
rnacentral:ncRNA from 1 species